rnacentral:rRNA from 1 species
GAUAGCGCACAAGUAGAGUGAUCGAAAGAUGAAAAGAACUUUGAAAAGAGAGUUAAAAAGUACGUGAAAUUGUUGAAAGGGAAGCGCUUGUGACCAGACUUGGGCUUGGUUGAUCAUCCAGGGUUCUCCCUGGUGCACUCUUCCGGCCCAGGCCAGCAUCAGUUUGCCCCGGGGGACAAAGACGUCGGGAAUGUGGCUCCCUCCGGGGAGUGUUAUAGCCCAGCGUGUAAUACCCUGAGGCGGACUGAGGUUCGCGCAUUCGCAAGGAUGCUGGCGUAAUGGUCAUCAGUGACCCGUCUUGAAACACGGACCAAGGAGUCGUCUUCGUAUGCGAGUGUUCGGGUGUCAAACCCCUACGCGUAAUGAAAGUGAACGCAGGUGAGAGCUUCGGCGCAUCAUCGACCGAUCCUGAUGUUUUCGGAUGGAUUUGAGUAAGAGCAUACGGGGCCGGACCCGAAAGAAGGUGAACUAUGCCUGUAUAGGGUGAAGCCAGAGGAAACUCUGGUGGAGGCUCGCAGCGGUUCUGACGUGCAAAUCGAUCGUCAAAUAUGGGCAUGGGGGCGAAAGACUAAUCGAACCUUCUAGUA